GUGUAGCUCAGUUGGGUAGAGCGUGAGACUCUUAACCUCAGGGCCACAGGUUCAUGUCCUACAUUGUACA